AUUGAACGCUGGCGGCAUGCCUAACACAUGCAAGUCGAACGCGUGGCGGACGGGUGAGUCAUGUCUGGAAAACUGCCCGCUGGCGGGGGAUAACUACUGGAAAACGUAGCUAAUCCCGCAUACCAUCGGAUGUGCCCAGAUGGGAUUCGCCGGUAGGUGGGGUAACGGCUCACCUAGGCGACGAUCCCUAGCUGGUCUGAGAGGAUGACAAGCCACCCUGGAACUGAGACACGGUCCAGACUCCUACGGGAGGGAGCAGGGGGGAAUAUUGGACAAUGGGGGCAAGCCUGAUGCAGCCAGGCCGCGUGUAUGAAGAAGGCCUUCGGGUUGUAAAGUACUUUCAGCGAGGAGGCGUUACUCGCAGAAGAAGCACCGGCUAACUCCGUGCCAGCAGCCGCGGUAAUUC
rnacentral:rRNA from 1 species